UCAGCAGGAUCGGUUGGUUGAAUUUAUGUCGCUCCGAAAGAAUUACAAGGACACAUACCAACAAUGACAACGACUAUGAUUAACCCAGAGCAAAGUUAACAAGUAAAACUCUAAGGAACGGAAAUCGGUUAGCCUAUGCUAUGCACCCGUGCUUCCGCAUAGCAUACGUUGCGGUGGUGACAACAAUUGUCAGGAUGCUCAGUGACUUCACCGUUUGGUUGCUGGCCAUUCCCAUCGACAAAUACGUUGCACAUAAGGUUGUGUUGUGGCUCUCAUCCAGGUCCACCCUCGCAUCUGUUGUAAGUAUUUCCCCUCAUUCAUAAAUUAUUCAAUGAGCAUCUAUCUAGUAUUUCAAACAAACAUUUCUUACUUAGUACUCCCUCC
rnacentral:lncRNA from 1 species